UAUGAGUAGGUGCUGAAGACG
rnacentral:piRNA from 1 species